UAUAAAACCUUUGUGUGGACCCUAUCGUGUACAUGCUAAUAGAGGCUAGCAUUUAUCGUUUCGUCCUGGCUCUGCUAUUAGUCCCUGCGCCGAGUGCUUUCGCGGAGGAAUGUGUGCGAACCUCACAACUCUUCCAGGCAGCUAAAAACAAAACAAAGCAAAGCAAAGCAAA